rnacentral:rRNA from 1 species
AGAGUUUGAUCAUGGCUCAGAACGAACGCUGGCGGCAGGCUUAACACAUGCAAGUCGAACGCAUCCUUCGGGGUGAGUGGCAGACGGGUGAGUAACGCGUGGGAACGUGCCCUUCAGUUCGGGAUAACCCAGGGAAACUUGGGCUAAUACCGGAUACGUGCGAGAGCAGAAAGAUUUAUCGCUGAAGGAUCGGCCCGCGUCUGAUUAGCUAGUUGGUAGGGUAAUGGCCUACCAAGGCGACGAUCAGUAGCUGGUCUGAGAGGAUGAUCAGCCACAUUGGGACUGAGACACGGCCCAAACUCCUACGGGAGGCAGCAGUGGGGAAUAUUGGACAAUGGGCGCAAGCCUGAUCCAGCCAUGCCGCGUGAGUGAUGAAGGCCUUAGGGUUGUAAAGCUCUUUCGUCCGGGACGAUAAUGACGGUACCGGAAGAAGAAGCCCCGGCUAACUUCGUGCCAGCAGCCGCGGUAAUACGAAGGGGGCUAGCGUUGUUCGGAAUCACUGGGCGUAAAGGGCGCGUAGGCGGCUUUGUAAGUCGGGGGUGAAAGCCUGUGGCUCAACCACAGAAUUGCCUUCGAUACUGCAUGGCUUGAGACCGGAAGAGGUAAGUGGAACUGCGAGUGUAGAGGUGAAAUUCGUAGAUAUUCGCAAGAACACCAGUGGCGAAGGCGGCUUACUGGUCCGGUUCUGACGCUGAGGCGCGAAAGCGUGGGGAGCAAACAGGAUUAGAUACCCUAGUAGUCC